rnacentral:lncRNA from 1 species
AGUCUUUUAAAUAAGUUGUUUUAUAUUUUUAGCUAUUCUAUAAUGUGUUGUUUUAGUUUUUACAUGCAUAUUUUCUAUGUCCAGUAUGAACAAAUUGGAAUUGGGACCGUGCGUUGAACGCCUUGAUACCAAGCCGGCCUGGCCCGGCCCGGCCUGAACAUGAGCAUCCGUUUUUCAAUCACCAACGAAAAAAAUCUAAAUCAAACGGAUGUCCAUUUAAAAUUAUGCGUUGGAGUUGGC